AGAACGAACGUUAGCGGCGCGCUUAACACAUGCAAGUCGCACGGUUCGGGGGCAACCCCGGGCAGCGGCGGACGGGUGAGGAACGCGUAGGAAUAUGUCCUGGGAUGGGGGAUAACCGUGGGAAACUACGGCUAAUACCGCAUGCGGCCUGAGGGCCAAAGGUCGAAAGGCCGUCUUGGGAGGAGCCUGCGUCCGAUUAGCUUGUUGGUGGGGUAACGGCCUACCAAGGCUGCGAUCGGUAGCUGGUCUGAGAGGAUGAUCAGCCACACUGGGACUGAGACACGGCCCAGACUCCUACGGGAGGCAGCAGUGGGGAAUAUUGGACAAUGGCGCAAGCCUGAUCCAGCAAUGCCGCGUGGGUGAAGAAGGUCUUCGGAUUGUAAAGCCCUUUCGGCGGGACGAUGAUGACGGUACCCGCAGAAGAAGCCCCGGCUAACUUCGUGCCAAGCCAGCCGC
rnacentral:rRNA from 1 species